UACGUAGGGUGCGAGCGUUGUCUGGAAUUACUGGGCGUAAAGAGCUCGUAGGUGGUUUGUCACGUCGUCUGUGAAAUUCCGGGGCUUAACCUCGGGCGUGCAGGCGAUACGGGCAAUACUUGAGUGCUGUAGGGGAGACUGGAAUUCCUGGUGUAGCGGUGAAAUGCGCAGAUAUCAGGAGGAACACCAAUGGCGAAGGCAGGUCUCUGGGCAGUUACUGACGCUGAGGAGCGAAAGCAUGGGUAGCGAACAGGAUUAGA
rnacentral:rRNA from 1 species